rnacentral:lncRNA from 1 species
UUUUUUCCCCACCAAUAAAAUGGCAACUCUCAAUUAUGAGAGAAAGAGUUUACUUACAAAGAUUCUCUCCAAUGGCUACAAACACAACUCCUCUUUUUGCAAAUGUUCAUGAUUCCUGGCUGAGCAACAGCUACUUCCAUGUGACAAAGCUUUGUUUGGCCCACAGGCCUAUUAUGGAUACCAGAUCUAUAUUGUCCCAAGUAAAUUGCAACAGUAAAAUGCAAACUCUUUUUAGGAGAGAUUCAGACACCUUUUCAGACACCUCAGCCAUUUGCAGCUUUCAUUAUGUGUAGCAAAUCUCUUUUACUUAGAUUCCAGCUUGCUUUCUUUCUGGACUGCUAGUGAUGUUUGCUUCUGAAACAAUUAGUAAAGUGUAGCUGGUUGAAGAAAGCAUAAUGAAUAAUCCUACCUGGAAUAAGCUAUACAGUCAUCAAGCUAGUUACCAGAAUUCACAGAACGGACAAUAAUGAGCUUCUACAAGCUAUUAAGAACAAGAAAAACAUCCCAAUAAAAAAAUAAAGAGGCCGGGCACGGUGGCUCACGCCUGUAAUCCCAGCACUUUGGGAGGCCGAGGCGGGCGGAUCACGAGGUCAGGAGAUCGAGACCAUCCUGGCUAACACAGUGAAACCCCGUCUCUACUAA